CAGCCUCGGACCGGGUCCCCGUGGCGCCCAAGGAGACUAAGUGGUGGUUUCCUCCAUUGCAGAGGGGCCCGGGCGGACGCGAGAAGCGGCGGGAGACGGAGGCAGGUCCCGGAACGGCUGAACUGCCACAGCGUUUCACACUCCCACCAGCAACGCACAAGGCUUGCAGCUGCUCCACAGCCUCACCAACACGUACUGCCUGUUUGUUGGAUAACAGCCAUCGUCAUGGGGUAAAGUGAUAUAUCCCUGCGGCUUUAGGUUGCAUUUCCCUAACACUCUUUGGUGAAAUUAUUCAAGUUGAAUUGGUUUUGUUGUUACUGUUGUUAUUCUUGAGUUGUAGACGUUCUUAAUAAACUCUGGAUGUUAGUCCUUAA